GCUGGCGUAGCUCAGACGGUAGAGCUACUGAUUUGUAAUCAGUGGGUCAUCGGUUCGAUUCCGGUCGCCAGCACCA
rnacentral:tRNA from 1 species